AGGUUCAUCCUUCUUGAGAGAUCCAUAAUUUUAUUUUAUUUUAUUUUUUUGCUUUUAAAUUUCUACACAUCCUAUAGGUUUGAGGGUUAUGUGAUGCUUUCUCAUGUAAAUAAGCUUCGUAGGAGUCCAGGAAACAUUUCAAUGGUUUGAAUAAUUAGUGCAUUGGUUCAAGUAAUACAGGGAUCAAGGGUGGAGUUCCAUGAGCUGAGGGAUAACUCGUCUUCCAUUUUGUUCUCACCUGCCUCUACAUCCCAUGAUGAACCAAAUUCUAUAUAUAGUAAUAACAGAUCCUUUUUCAAGAUUAAACCCUUCUUCCUCGUAACUUUAUUCUGAAAUGCAGGUCCUAAUCCAAUAUUAAUGAACAAACUUCCUCCGAGGAAAAUUAAAUCUUUAUCAUAUUGAUACGGAUAGCAUGUCCUACUGUCAAAUAAUGUCAAUUAUGCAGUUGUAAGCUAGUAAUACCUUUGCUUAGUCAAUGGUUAAGCUUCUACCUUAUAGCGCAGGAGCAAAAAGUUCAAACUCUAAAAGCUCAUUUCCUUUAAAAAUUUCU
rnacentral:misc_RNA from 1 species